rfam:Gossypium raimondii Chr11_contig_700, whole genome shotgun sequence.
UGUUAAAAAUUUUAUCUAUUUGUAUUGUUAAAAAUUAACACUGUUGAUACAAUAACCAAACAGUUAUGUUUGACGUGACAUGUGUACCUCAUGCUGAUGUAUACAGACCAAAUUUAAUAGAAAUAGAUAAAAAUUUUAACA